UACGAAGGGGGCUAGCGUUGUUCGGAAUUACUGGGCGUAAAGCGCACGUAGGCGGAUACUUAAGUUAGGGGUGAGAUCCCAGGGCUCAACCCUGGAACUGCCUUUAAUACUGGGUAUCUUGAGUUCGAGAGAGGUGAGUGGAAUUCCGAGUGUAGAGGUGAAAUUCGUAGAUAUUCGCAAGAACACCAGUGGCGAAGGCGGCCAACUGGUCCGGUACUGACGCUGAGGUGCGAAAGCGUGGGGAGCAAACAGG
rnacentral:rRNA from 1 species